GGUAAAUUAUUAUCUACUCUUGCACAAAAUAAAUCAAUCAGCUCUACAAUCUAUUGCUCCAGAAGAGUUCAUCUUUUGCCCUAGUCCAUUUCCUCUUGCACUGCUCCAGGCUGGAGAAGAAUUCGGUGUAGCAGCUUCUGAGAAGUUGAAGGAGGGGCCAGGCAGAAACUGUCCUAGAGUAAGCACUGAGGGGAGCAAUGCACUUGGCAUACUCAGAGCUGAAACACUUCCAGUGGAGGUCACCUGCAGCCACUGGCAGCCUUAUUUGCAUUUUCUGAAGCCCCCUCUUUUCCCCAUCCUUGGAGUCAAGGUACAUUUACCUGCUGAGAAGUCAGAAGUCUCCCUCUGAUGCAACACAUGUGGCAUUUUCUGAAGCUGAUAGUGUUCAUGGAAAAGGGCAAAGAA
rnacentral:lncRNA from 1 species